UUGAGCGGGUCUUCUCCUGCUGGAGCUACAGCUGUCUGUGUGUCUGCUACAUGAGUUUAUGGAUUAAUAUCGGGAUCGUUUUACAUCUACACGUUAAAUAUGAGCAUCGGGACGUCAACAAAGAACAGAAGACUUGAGAUCUGAGCACCAGUGGACAGUGAGGACUAUGGAAGAGAAGAUGUGAUGGCUUUGUGUGGAAAGCUGCUGAUGGCAGCCUGUGUCCCUCUCAUCAGUCUCUCCAGGCAGCACCCAGCUAUUCUUCCAUCUUGCAGAUGAAAAGACUUUGAUAUCACCUGGACACAGCAGGAACCUACGCCAGGAUCCUGUUUGUGGACUUCAGCUCUGCCUUCAACACAACCCUCUGGCUGGAGGCUGCGCUCCAUCAGGACCAAAACCUCUCUCCAUCAGGACCAGAACCUCUCUCCAUCAGGACCAACACCCAGGGCUCUCGACUAACUUUUUUCCCCAUCCUCCCGGAACCGUCCCGAAAUACAAUCUAAGCCGUCCCGAAAUGAAUGUGGACCGUCCCGAAUUUAAAAUGUUAG